AUCAACGCUGGCGGCGUGCCUAACACAUGCAAGUCGAACGAGAAAACGGGGGCAACUCCGUGAGUAAAGUGGCGACCGGGUGAGUAACACGUGACUAACCUGCCCUUGAGUGGGGGAUAACCUCGGGAAACCGGGGCUAAUACCGCAUAACAUCCUCGGGAUGAAAAGCUGAGGAUCAAAGGAGCAAUUCGCUUAAGGAGGGGGUCGCGGCUGAUUAGCUAGUUGGCGGGGGUAACGGCCCAACCAAGGGCGAUGAUCGGUAGCCGGCCUGAGAGGGCGCACGGCCACACUGGAACUGAAACACGGUCCAGACUCCUACGGGAGGCAGCAGUGGGGAAUUUUGCGCAAUGGGGGAAACCCUGACGCAGCAACGCCGCGUGGAGGAUGAAGUCCCUUGGGACGUAAACUCCUUUCGACCGGGACGAUUAUGACGGUACCGGUGGAAGAAGCCCGGCUAACUCUGUGCCAGCAGCCGCGGUAAUACAGGGGGGGCGAGCGUUGCUCGGAAUUAUUGGGCGUAAAGGGCGCGUAGGCGGUGCGGUAAGUCACCUGUGAAACCUCUGGGCUCAACUCAGAGCCUGCAGGCGAAACUGCCGUGCUCGAGUGUGGGAGGGGUGCGUGGAAUUCCCGGUUGUAGCGGUGAAAUGCGUAGAUAUCGGGAGGAACACCUGUGGCGAAAGCGGCGCACUGGACCACAACUGACGCUGAGGCGCGAAAGCUAGGGGAGCAAACAGGAUUAGAUACCCUGGUAGUCCACGCUGUAAACGAUGGGCACUAGGUGUCCGGGGUAUUGACCCCCUGGGUGCCGCAGCUAACGCAUUAAGUGCCCCCGCCUGGGGAGUACGGUCGCAAGGAUUAAACUCAAAGGAAUUGACGGGGGCCCGCACGAGCGGUGGAGCAUGUGGUUCAAUUCGAAGCAACGCGAAGAACCUUACCUGGGCUUAGAUCAAGGUCGACUCGGCCCUAGAAAUCGGUCCUUUCCCUCAGGGGACUGCUGGUUAGGUGCUGCAUGGCUGUCGUCAGCUCGUGCCGUGAGAGUGUUGGGUUAAGUCCCGCAACGAGCGCAACCCUCGUCCUUAGUUGCCACCAUUCAGUCUGGGCACUCUAGUGGAGACUGCCGGUGAUAAGCCGGAGGAAGGUGGGGACUGACGUCAAGUCCUCAUGGCCUCUAUGUCCAGGGCUACACACGUGCUACAAUGGCAGGUACAAACCGCAGCAAACCCGCGAGCGGGGAGCAAAUCGGAUAAAAGCCUGUCUCAGUUCGGAUUGCAGUCUGCAACUCGACGCCAUGAAGCUGGAAUCGCUAGUAAUCGCAGAUCAGCACGCCUGCGGUGAAUACGUUCCCGGGUCUUGUACACACCGCCCGUCACAUCACGAAAGUCGGCUGUACCUAGAAGUGGCGGUGCUAAACCGCAAGGGAGGCAGGUCCCGAAGGUAUGGUCAUGUAUUGGGGUG
rnacentral:rRNA from 1 species